UCUAAAAUGUCGCCAAAAUUUUUAUUUUUAAGCAAAGACAGCUAUUCUAAAUCUUGUUUUUGUUAAUAUAAAACGAAUUGAACGGUUACAAAAUCGUUAUAAAUCUAAUAAACACUUUAUUUUUGUAGAAUAAAUAUUUUAUUUUAGGCAUAGCAUUAUUUAUGCAGCAAAAAAAGAUCAUGACUGGGCAACGUUUUCCGUUGUCAGAAGUUCUUUUACGAGUUUUCUGAUUUUCUGGUAGAAAAAGUGAUUUUUCUGUGCACUACUUGAGCUUAUUCUGUUCCGUAAGGCCUGUUUAAUCUCCUGUAACUGUCUUUUAGAAUACAUCAGUGUUAGUAUACCCAGUAUAAUAUUACACAAGAGAAUGGUGUCUUUCUGUAUCCUUCCCCAGAAGAGGAGACCUGGAACAUCCUCUAACUUCGAUGGUCGACCAUCAAUAACCUGCAUAGCAAGUACAGGUAUUCGAAAAAGUUACUACCCUCCGUAUCUAAAAGCUGGCUGAGGAUUUAUCUUUGACCAUAGGUUAAAUUAGCUGGGGGACAAGAAGGUAAAACAUUAAAAAUCACAUCAGGAAACAAAGAUUUCUAAGAGGAGGUUUUAUAAAGGUUUAACCCCAUCUUCGACUACUGCAGUACAAGAAAUUCAAAACAUGUUAAUAAUACCACACAAGAGAACGGUGUCUUUCUGCAUCCUUCCACAAAAGAGGGGACCUGGAUCAUCCUCUGACUCUGAUGUUUGGCCAUUGGAGACCUGCAUAGCAUAUUUUAAAAAGAAUGUUAUUAACAAUACACACCUGCACAUAGAGACCUCCUAAAAGAAGAGACCUGGGUCACCCCUUGUAUAAUCUGAUAUCGCCUCUACCAGAUACCAUCACAUUGAUUAUUUCAACAUUUAACAGCAUAUUGAGGAUGAAUUUCAUGAUGAGAGGCGCUCGCUCAAUAACUUUAGAACCAAGACUUUCCAGAAAGCUACCCAGAAGAUUUAUUUACCCAACAUAUAUAGACGUCAACGUGUCCAUCAGCACCUUGGAUUUUAAUAUACUUUUUAUAUUACUAUUGUUA